rnacentral:lncRNA from 1 species
UUUAAAAUAAAAAUAUGAUUUUUGGAUAUUAGGUUCUGCGAGGAAUUUGUGAGAUUAAUUGGAUUUGUUGUGGAUCGCGUUCGAUGUAAGUAAUGAACUGACUUUUCUAGACUUUUCAUUUAUAUAAUAUUAUUUUUGCAUCGAAUAAAUUGUUAAUGAAUUUAUAUGUGAUUUAUGAAUUUUACGAGAUGAUGAUUUAAAUGAAAAAUAGAUAUGUGAAUUGGAAUAAUAUUUUUCGGACUAUUGUUAUAUUUAUUGUUCUUACAUCAUAUAUGCAUAUUUAGAUCAAAUUAUAAUAUAUCUAUUAUGUUACAAAAAAAAUUUGAUGUGCAUCAGAUUUGGAUCUCUCAGCCUGACUAUAUUCUGGACCCCACAAUUGGGGGUUAUGCAUUGGCAAUUCUGACCCCACCAUAGGGUAUAAGUGUGGUAUUCUGGCCCACUCCGCAGGGUAUAAGUGUGGUAUUCUGGCCCACUCCGCAGGGUAUAAAUGCGGUAUUCUAGCCCACUCUACAGGGUAUAAGUGUGGCUCUGUCUCUGGCUUAGCCACAGGAUAUAAGUGUGGUCAUAGUUAAACGCUGUUGAGUUGAAUGUGAUUUAUCUCGAGUCGGAUUUAUAAUUAUAUAUACGGAUAUUUGAAAGAUACGGAAUUCAAUGGAUUUCUGUUCGAAAAGGAAUUGAUUAUGUCAUUAUGCUGAUUCGUUGUAAUUUGUAUUUAUAUUUUAUGUUAUUAUAUAAAUUAUCUAGUUAAGUUAUUUAUUAUUUACUGGGCUGUUUAGCUCAUUAUACAAUUUCUUGUUGUUUUACAUAUUCCAAGAACUAAUCUAUCGAGGUUUCAAAAUGGAAGAGCAACUAGAAAGAUUGUAGCACAAGCUAUUUUUGAAUUAGGAUUUAUUUAAGUUGAACUGUCAUCUUGGACAAUUAUUAUGAUUGUUAGACAUUGCAAUGUUUUGUUAUUUAAAGAACUAAGUUUUGCAUGUUGGUAAAUUUAUUGUUCCGCUGCAUAUUUAGAACUGUGAGACUUUAUGAUUUGAAUUAGUCCAUGGAAUAAGAUUGCAUUUAUUUAGAUGAAUUAUUUUAGAUUUAUAUAAUUGAUAUAUUUGGUUAAGAUGCCUUGCAUGCUCGUAGGAAGAUUUUCCUACGGGUGUGCGGCAGUUGGCGCGGACCUCCGGCUCGUGAUCUCGGGUCGGGGGCAUGACAACUUAAGUGGUAUCAGAGCAUGAAUGGAUAAAUUGUAAGAUAAGAAAAUCUAACAUGACAUGAGUGUAGGUGGGUAGACACUAGGGAUAUUGGGACGUUAGUUUAUGAUGAUUGUAACAACCAUCCUAUAUACUUGUAAUUAACUGGUAAGCUUAUUAUUGGCAUGCUGCUAUCUGAUAGAUAUAGAUCAGGAUGCCUGAAAAAGAUUACUUGCGGAGCUACUGAUAUGGCACCAAACCCGCAAAAUGGCAGCACACCCCAACAAGUUGGUAACUGUUGGCGGAGGCCUGAGGGGCCGAGUCAACGUUGGCGGAGGCCUGAAGGGCCGAGUCAGUCCUGCCGCCUGCCAACGUGGAUGCGCUGGAGGAGUAGGGCGGGUUAUACCACUAGAGGGUCCCUGAACCCACUGGCGAGGCCCUGUCGGAGUCUGGAGUCGGGCGAGGCUUAGUCGGAAUCGACUCGUGGCGCUAUGGGCCCCUGCGCUAGUUUAAGAAA